rnacentral:rRNA from 1 species
AUUGAACGCUGGCGGCAUGCCUUACACAUGCAAGUCGAACGGCAGCACGGGUGCUUGCACCUGGUGGCGAGUGGCGAACGGGUGAGUAAUACAUCGGAACAUGUCCUGUAGUGGGGGAUAGCCCGGCGAAAGCCGGAUUAAUACCGCAUACGAUCUACGGAUGAAAGCGGGGGACCUUCGGGCCUCGCGCUAUAGGGUUGGCCGAUGGCUGAUUAGCUAGUUGGUGGGGUAAAGGCCUACCAAGGCGACGAUCAGGAGCUGGUCUGAGAGGACGACCAGCCACACUGGGACUGAGACACGGCCCAGACUCCUACGGGAGGCAGCAGUGGGGAAUUUUGGACAAUGGGCGAAAGCCUGAUCCAGCAAUGCCGCGUGUGUGAAGAAGGCCUUCGGGUUGUAAAGCACUUUUGUCCGGAAAGAAAUCCUUGGCUCUAAUACAGUCGGGGGAUGACGGUACCGGAAGAAUAAGCACCGGCUAACUACGUG